rnacentral:rRNA from 1 species
UACGGGGGGGGCAAGCGUUGUUCGGAUUUAUUGGGUUUAAAGGGUGCGUAGGCGGCUUUGUAAGUCAGUGGUGAAAUAUGGCAGCUUAACUGUCAGGGUGCCAUUGAUACUGCAGAGCUUGAGUACAGAUGAGGUAGGCGGAAUUGACGGUGUAGCGGUGAAAUGCUUAGAUAUCGUCAAGAACACCUAUAGCGAAGGCAGCUUACUAGGCUGUAACUGACGCUGAGGCACGAAAGUGUGGGGAUCAAACAGG